GAGAGAGAAUAGGGAUGAGAAGCUCAGCUUGUAGAAUUGGCAGGUGAUGUUUGCAGUCAUUAAUCAUUUGAGAAGUAGAGAGAGAAGCCAAGCAGGAAAUCUUCAUACUGGAAAAGAAGUGCUCACCAUUAAAAAAAAAAAAAAAAAAAAUCCAGUGUGGUUCACAGCUGUAAUCCCAUCACUUGGAGGCUGAGGCAGGAGAAAUACGUGAAGCCAGGAGUUUGAGACCAGCCUGGGCAAUAUAACAAGACCCACAUCUCUACAAAGAGAAAAAAAAUGUAAAAAAAAGAAGCUUUAAACCUAAGACGGCAGAAUUCAAGACUGUUGUCCUUGAGAACUUCCUGGCUCUGGAAAAAGCUCAGUGAGUUAGUCUCAUCCUGUCGUUAGCUCUGUUUUUUAGGGGCUCACUUUGUCUUCACGACAGUACCUUGCACCAUUCUCAUGGGUAUCCCAGGGUGGUGCAAGGCAGUUUUCUGCACUUCCCAGAAUGCCCUGUCAGCUGGCUUCUGGGUAGGUUCUGCAAAUUGGAGGCCCCUGUGAAAGAUCGCUGUGGGGUGGGAGGAAGAAGCUUUAUCUGCCUGCUGGCUGCAGGGUAGAGGACUGCAGUGGGGUUAUAGGGAUCACCACCUGCACAUGUGGAGCUUUGAGCGGCUUCACUCUAAGUUUCUGCUCAACAGUGGCAGCCCUGGAGUCCUUCGGGGGCGAGUGUGGGCUCCUGGGCUCCAGGCCAGGGGCAGUCCCAGCUUCCUGAUCUCGAGGUAGCGUCUCCUCCCUUUUGCUCCAUAGCACCUCGCCCUUCUCAGUGACGUGCCUCCUUCUCAGUCAUGCGCCUCCAGCUCUAACAAUGUCCUUGAAAACAAUUCUUGACCAUGCGCCGUGGCUCACGCCUGUAAUCCCAACACUUUGGGAGUCUGAGGCAGGCGGAUCACUUGAGGUCAGGAGUUUGAGACCAGCCUGGCCAACAUGUAAUCCCAGCUACUCCCUCCACUUGAUUUGUGUUCCUUGAAGAAAUUUGCAUAAUCCCUGUAUCUGGUUGGCAGAUAGCAGAGAUGUAGCCUCAGUCUUUCCUUUAAAAAUUUUGCUUUAGGCAGGGCGCGGUGGCUCACACCUAUAAUCCCAGCACGUUGGGAGGCCAAGGUGGGCAGAUCAUGAGAGCAGGAAUUUGAGAUCGGCCUAGCCAAUAUGGUGAAACCCCGUCUCUACUAAAAAUAUAAAAAUUAGCUGGGCGUGGUGGCACAAGCCUGUAAUCCCAGCUAUUUGGGAGGCUGAGGCAGGAGAAUCGCUUGAAUCCAGGAGGCAGAGGUUGAGAUGAGCCGAGAUCACGCUAUUGCACUCCAGCCUGGGCAACAGAGGGAUACUCCAUCUCAAAAAAAAUUUUUUGCUUUAGGGCCAAUCGUGGUGACACACGCUUGUAAUUCUGGCACUUUGAGAGGCCGAGGCAGGUGGAUAAUUUGAGGUCAGGGGUUCGAGAGCAGACUGGCCAUGAUGGUGAAAUCCCAUCUCUACUAAAAAUACAAAAAAAGCCAGGUAUGGUGGCAUACGCCUGUAAUCCCAGCUACUCGGGAGGCUGAAGCAGGAGAAUCACUUGAACCCGGGAGGUUUAGGUGGCAUUGAGCCGAGAUUGCACCACUGCACUCCAGCCUGGGUGACAGAGCGAGACUCCAUCUCAAAAAAAAAAAAAAGGGCCGGACGCGGUGGCUCACGCCUUUAAUCCCAGCACUUUGGAAGGCCGAGGCGGGUGGAUCACCUGAGGUCAGGAGUUCAAGACCAGCCUGGUCAACAUGGUGAAACCCCGUCUCUACUAAAAACAUUAAAAAAUUAGCCGGGCAUGGUAGUGGGCGCCUGUAAUACCAGCUACUGAGGAGGCUGAGGCAGGAGAAUUGCUUGAACCCAGGAGACAGAGGUUGCAGUGACCUGAGAUUGUGCCACUACACUCCAGCCUGGGCAACAAAGCAAGACUCUGUCUUAAACAAACAAAAAGCCCAGUGUGGUGGUGUAUAUUUGUGGUCCUAGCUACUUUGAAGGCUGAGGUGGGAGGAUUGCUUGAGUACAACAUGUAGAGGCUGCAGUGAGCUGUGAUUGUGCCACUGCACCCCAGUGUGGGUGACAGAGCAAGACCCUGUCUCAAAAUAAUAAAAUUAACAUUCAUUAACAAUAAUGUUAAUAUAUAUGUUAAUGUAUAUGUUAAUCGUAAUGUUUAUAUUUUACCAUGAUAAAAACAUUUUAAAAUC
ensembl:lncRNA novel transcript, antisense to CHRAC1